rnacentral:tRNA from 1 species
GGAUCCGUGGCGCAAUGGUAGCGCGUCUGACUCUAGAUCAGAAGGUUACGUUGGGUUCA